rnacentral:tRNA from 1 species
GCGGGCGUGGCGGAACUGGCAGACGCGCAGGUCUUAGGAGCCUGUGGAGCAAUCCGUGUGGGUUCGAGUCCCUCCGCCCGCACCA